ensembl:lncRNA
ACUUGGUAUUGGAUUGAAAAAUAAAAUCAAUAAUAUCGUCCAUUCCUACUCUGAUGGCAAACUGAGCCUUGCUGCUCCCUCUUUCUGAUUGGUCAGCUCCCCCCACCCUGCUCCCCACCUCUCAUUUUCUCUCAUUCUCCCUCUCUCUCUCUCUCUCUCUCUCUCUCUCUCUCUCUCUCUCUCUCUCUCUGCUUAAAUACUUUUAACAAAAAGGACUGAAGGAGGAGGGAGAGGGGGAUGGGAAUGAUGGGGGAAGGGAAUUGUGUUUGAGUGUAUGUGUGUGUUGUCACUAGAGAGAGCGAUAGAGAGGGAGAGAGUAGAGUGGUGUUUAGUCCGUACGUGGAAAAACAUAGUCGUGCAUGCACAGACUAGCGGGGAUUAUCUAUCUGUUCUAAAUCUGAUAGAGAAAUGCAGGCAUGAAUAGGUGUCUCUUUAUACACUCUCAUGAUCACUGUAUCAAGGUUUGAAGAAGUGUGCAUUUGUGUUUCUGGAGUUGGGAAAACAGGACAGUGUCAGUGCUCAUUCUUCUGAGCUUUCUCACACGUCUGAGAAAAUGAAGUGGAUCUGGAUGUGUAGUGUCCUAGUGCAAGCACAUGCCGGUGAUGGACUACAGACGCACAGACGCUAACCUGGCUUUCUCUGCAGAAGUGUCACCUUAAUCUAGACCACGUCCGCAGAAUGCUGAGUCCUAUUGUUCCCUAUAACAAACCUGAGGGAAAUCUGAGAGAGAUUCCUGGGGCCACGGAUACUCCUGUAGGGAUUUGGUGCAAAGAAUCUGUAAUCUACACUUCAAACACACUCCUAAAUCAGUCCCAGGCCAGCAGCCCACGAGUGCCCUAACUCUUGUUGCUCAGAGGCCCGCUGUCCAGCGGAUCCUUUUUGUUUUUGAAGAGCGAAAUGAAUACAGCCGGCACCUCUUCUUCACAAUGACCUCAUUUCUUUUCUGCCUUGCAAAAAAAUAAAUAAAAAAAUGCCAGGCCUACUGAAGCACUCUGAUUGCAUCUGUUAAGUCAUUAAAGCUCUGAAGCUCUGAGAGAAUGGGGUAUGCUGGGCUCUUCUGGAUGAGUGGCGCAUCUCACAAUCCUAAUGAGAGCGACCGAAGAUGAAUACGGCUCUGGAGGG